UUUGAAAGCUGGCCCCUUCGGGGUCCGCGUUGUAAUUUGUAGAGGAUGAUUCGGCGAGGGCUCCCGUCUAAGUCCCUUGGAACAGGGCGUCAUAGAGGGUGAGAAUCCCGUAUGUGAUGGGCUGCCUUAGCCAUGUGAAUCUCCUUCGACGAGUCGAGUUGUUUGGGAAUGCAGCUCUAAAUGGGAGGUAAAUUUCUUCUAAAGCUAAAUACCGGCCAGAGACCGAUAGCGCACAAGUAGAGUGAUCGAAAGAUGAAAAGCACUUUGGAAAGAGAGUUAAAAAGUACGUGAAAUUGUUGAAAGGGAAGCGCUUGCAGCCAGACUUGUCCGCAGUUGCUCAGCUUGUCUCCUGACAGGCGUACUCUUCUGCGGCCAGGCCAGCAUCAGUUCGGGCGGUCGGAUAAAGACCUGGGGAAUGUAGCUCCUCUCGGGGAGUGUUAUAGCCCUGGGUGCAAUGCGGCCAGCCUGGACUGAGGAUCUCGCUUCGGCUAGGAUGCUGGCGUAAUGGCUGUAAGCGGCCCGUCUUGAAACACGGACCAAGGAGUCUAACAUCUAUGCGAGUGUUUGGGUGUCAAACCCAUGCGCGUAAUGAAAGUGAACGGAGGUGGGAACCCUCACGGGUGCACCAUCGACCGAUCCUGAUGUCUUCGGAUGGAUUUGAGUAAGAGCAUAGCUGUUGGGACCCGAAAGAUGGUGAACUAUGCCUGAAUAGGGUGAAGCCA
rnacentral:rRNA from 1 species